AGAUGUGAAGGUGAUCGGGCUGCGACAUCUGUCACCCCACUGAUCGCCAGCGUUGAUUUGGCUGAUUUGGCUGGCUAGGUGAGUGUUGCCUUCCUCCCUCACCACUCCAUGUGUGUCCCUCCCGAAGGUGCGCCAGGUAGAAGAGGAUGAUGACCACCCCCAUAGAGAAGAACCAUUUCCUCAGUCGAGGGUGUACGAGUAGCUGCGCUCCCCUGCUAGAACCUCCAAACAAGCUCUCAAGAAUACACCUUGUACUAUAUUGCAAUGGUUAAUUAAUAUCUAAGACUGAUAACAUUAUGAUAUGAGAAUUCAACAUAAAAUCAUAGUGCAGCAAAGAUGGAUUUUUUUUUUU
ensembl:misc_RNA 7SK 7SK RNA